AGCAUAAUUCUUGAAACAGAUGCGAAUACCAUUGCGGGGAAGGUUGCAACCAAUGCUGCUGACGGUUCUGUUCCCUUCUCUGAGCAGGCAAAUUUCUGAAUCUCCAUCCCCGCACAUUCCUCUGUUAGUUAUCAUAUAGUAUCUCAUAGUUUUUCUCAUUGGCUGUUUGUUCUCUGCAGACAAUAUCCCAAGCUCUGGCCACAGCCAGGGAACACUUUGCAAGAUCUCUUCUGAAGUGAGAAACCACUGCUUCUUCUGUCACCCCUGUUACAACUUGUGUGUGUUUGAGGUCUGGCUACUAUGCUAUAGGCCUGGUAGCGGUCACUUAACCAGAAGCGCAACUGUGACAGACAGAUUUGUCUGGAUUCUUCUUAAAUGAUAUGUAAUACUAUUUUCUCGUCAAAUGCAUGCUGCGUGUCGUACAUUUUCUGGAGGUAUAGAGAAAUAAUUUUUGACGUUAAUCCAAUUUCUGCUAAAUAACACUCUUCUCAAACCGGAAAGGGCGGAUAUCGCUUCAACUUUUUUUUUUUUUUUUUGCCUUUCGUUUAUUUCUUUACAAGAAUUAUGUGUGUUCCCAAGCAUGAGCCAGAAGUGGCCUUAUUGAUGAAGCGUUAUUGCUAGGGGUGUUAUGUUAGGAGAUGAACCUCUGAAGUCUUAUAGGCAGCCCAAAUGUGUGCAAGAGGGAUGUUUAGCCUCCCGUACAAUAGUCAUUGAGACAAGUGCCGAAUAUUCUAUGUUAGCCUUCACGGGAGAAAAAAAUGAAAUUAAAGGGACCAGAGGAAAAUUGAAGGAAGAACAACGAAAGGGGUUUGUCCCCAGGGCUGUGAAGUUCAGAUCUACCACCCCAUCUCUGUAAAGUUAUGGUUCCACCAUCUUUGAUGAGUUUAUUCUAAUCCUUACCUUUUGCAACCCUAAAUCUUACUGUUGUCAUCUAAGACAGUGAUAUCUUAAUGCAUGAAAGCCUCUAAAGCUACUUAGAGAAGAACCUCUAGUGUCCCACAUUUGAAUGGCUUCAUCUAGUGGGUUUUACCCUAAUUUAGGGAGUUUCCCACGUUAAUAUUUGGUGUAUAUGUGUGUUUAUAUUGAUGUUACAUUUUUGUAGAAGAAUGUCUAGAAGCACUUAGUACUUGUCCUAGAUAUGUGUUGGAAGCACUCAGGGAGAAAAGAAAGUACUUCCGCUCGCUGCUUGCAUGACCGCACAAGGCAGCUGAGGCAAGAACAGAAUUCAGAAAGGUGCGCUCCUGCCCUGCGCACCGCGUCGGCCGUCACUCCGGCGUCGGCGGCCACCAGUCUCGCCGCUCCCCACUCCAGGGACGGCGCCUACCUCCCGCUCCUAGGUGCCAUGGCCUCUAGGGUCUUCCUGUCCAGGCCCCUCUCGCUGGAGCCCGACUCCCCCCCGCAGUCUUCGCCAAGAUCCCGUUGCAUGGUCGCGGCCUCAGCUCAGAUCUCUCAUCGUGCCGUAGAUCCUGGGCACCGCCUUCGGUCCGCUGACCGCUCGUGCAGGGUGGCGGCACGGGGGCCUCUUGCGCCCCCACUCAUCCUCCGGCGAAUGGUGGGUGGCAGACCAAGAUGGGUCGUCGCCCGCGGGCUCCGCCUGUCCGUGCCCCACCUGUGCGACGUCGGCGCCUGGCGGGGCGGCCCCGUGCACUGCCGGCCCCUCGACCGCCGCCCUCCUCAAGGCCACCCCCGAAGCUUCAUGGAUGCUGCUACAACUGCAGGAGUGAUGGGCAUAUCUAUGUCGACUGCACGAAUCCUACGUUCCGUGUCCCGGUGCCGUGGGGCCGGUCACACGUCGCGCGGGUUUACGUGUCCCCGCAGCCCCUCUCCGGUGGAGAAGCCGUCGCGUCCCCCGCCGGCCCUCCGCUCUAAGGUGACCACGUCCCCAAGCCCCGACCACGCAGUCUCCUUCCGAUCUGCCACUCCGUCGCCUGGCUCGUUUCGAACAUAUCUAUACUUUUUAAUUGUUCAUGCUGAUAUGUUAUUAUUGUAAGAUACUUUUUGUGCAGUCAUAUGCCAAUUUAUAAUAUUUUUGAGCACUAGCCUAUUGACCCAGUGCCCAGUGCUAGUUCCUAUUUUAUGCGUGUUUUUUUGCUUUGCAGGUUUACCCUACCAAACGAAUUUCAAAUGCCACAAAACUUUAAUAUGAUUUUUUCUGGACUAUAUGAAGACCUGCAAGCAUCAGAAGUGGACGAGAGGCCGAACGAGGUAGGCACAAGCCAACAGGGCGCGGCCGCGCCCUAAUGACUUGUGCCCCCCUAGAUGCCUCCCGCCGUCCCUCUCUGACCUAUAAAUUCACAAAUAUUCCGAUGCACUCCCGAAACACUUUUUCCGCCGCCGCAAGUCUCUGUUCUGACGGAAGGCCAUCUAAACCUCCAUUCCGGCGAUCUGUCGGAGGGGAGAUCAGUCACGGAGGGCCUCUACAUCAACCUUGUUGCCCUCACCGUGAUGUGUGAGUAGUUUACCACAUACCUACGGGUCCGUAGGCAGUACCUAGAUGACAAUCUCUCUCUCUUAUGAUCUUCAAUACCAUGUUCAUCGCAUCUUCGCUUUGAUCUAUCCGAUGUAAUCACUAUGUAUGGUGUGUUUGUUGGGGUCCGAUGAAUUGUGGGUUUAUGUUCAGAUUAUUCAUGAAAAGUAUUUGAGUCAUCUCUGAUUAUUAUGAUUCUUAAUUGCAUGAUCA
rnacentral:lncRNA from 1 species